rnacentral:misc_RNA from 1 species
AGGAAAUCAUUGGUGGCUAAAAAAUCUCCACAUUUAGUUAAGAGAGAGGCAGAGGAGGCCCGGAAUCCGUACUUUGACGGACCCCACAACAAAGUGGCCGCCAAGAAGGGGUCCUAUAUACCACGUCAUCAGUGAAUCGGACCAAAUUCUUAUUAUUGGAGGAAUUAUCCAGGAAAUAAAUGUACUAAUUAGGUGCUGAAAAGUAUUGACUUCUUGUUAUAACGUUGCAAUUUGAUAUGAAAUGUAUAUUAGUAGAAAUUGAAUCACUUUCUUAAUUAACGCGUUUAAGCUCAAAACAAUAAAAAUUGAUUUAUGAUGUUAUUACUGAGUGUUCCCAUUAAGUUCAUGUUAUAAAAGUUAUUGUUAAAGAGUUAUAUUGUCAAUCGGUUCAAUAAAGUAAACAAUAC